AAUUGCCUGAUAAAAGGG
rnacentral:tRNA from 1 species